AUUCUGCCUAUGCGGGGAAGGAUGAGAAGCUUCGACUAAGGUUCGACUCGAGCGCCAGCGAGAGAGCGUUGCCGCAGGCAACGACCCGCAGGGCGA
rnacentral:sRNA from 1 species